GAUGAACGCUGGCGGCGUGCUUAACACAUGCCAGUCGAGCGAACAGACGAGGAUCUUGCUCCUCUGACGUUAGCGGCGGACGGGUGAGUAACACGUGUAUCACCUACCUAUAAGACUGGGAUAACUUCGGGAAACCGGCGCUAAUACCGGAUAAUAUAUUGAACCGCAUGGUUCAAUAGUGAAAGACGGCUUUGCUGUCUCUUAUAGAUGGUUCUGGGCCGCAUUGGCUAGUUGGUAAGGUAACGGCUUACCAAGGCGACCAUGCGUAGACGAACUGAGAGAGUGGUCGGCCACAUGGGAAGUGAGACGCGGACCAGGCGACUACGAGACGCAGCAGUAGGGAAUCUGACGCAGUGGGCGAAAGCCUGACGGAGCGGCGCCGAGUGAGUGAUGAAGGUCUUCGGAUCGGAAAACUCUGUUAUUAGGGAAAAACAAAUGUGGAAGUAACUAUGCACGUAUUGACGGUAACUAAUCAGAAAGCCACGGCUAACUACGUG
rnacentral:rRNA from 1 species